rnacentral:rRNA from 1 species
UAAAGAAAUAAAGAGCGCACAGGGGAUGCCUUGGCACCAACAGCCGAUGAAGGACGCAACUAACAGCGAAAUGCUACGGGGAGCAGUAAGUACGCAAAGAUCCGUAGAUAUCCGAAUGGGGGAACCCACUAGAAAGAAGUUCUAGUAUCAUAUACUGAAUCAAUAGGUAUAUGAGGGAAGACCCGGAGAACUGAAACAUCUUAGUACCCGGAGGAAAAGAAAGCAAAAGCGAUUCCGUAAGUAGAGGCGAUUGAAAGCGGAACAGCCCGUUGUCCACUUGAGUUACAAAACUUUAUUGUAGUAGAAAUGUAUUGGAAAAGCAUAGCGAAGAGGGUGAAACUCCCGUACACGAAACGAUAAAGACUCAGGACACGAUGAGUAGGGCGGAGCACGUGGAAUUCUGUCUGAAUAUGCGAGGACCAUCUCGUAAGGCUAAAUACUCGUUGGUGACCGAUAGUGAACCAGUACUGUGAAGGAAAGGUGAAAAGAACCCCUGGCGGGGAGUGAAAAGAACCUGAAACUGUGUGCUUACAAUCAGUUAGAGCCCGUUAAUGGGUGAUAGCGUGCCUUUUGUAGAAUGAGCCGGCGAGUUACGUUAGUUUGCAAGGUUAAGCUUAAAGGAGCGGAGCCGAAGCGAAAGCGAGUCUUAAUAGGGCGAUGUAGUAGGCUGACGUAGACCCGAAACCGGGUGAUCUAGCCAUGAUCAGGUUGAAGCUUGGGUAAAACCAGGUGGAGGACCGAACCAGGGUUCGUUGAAAAGAACUUGGAUGAAUUGUGGCUAGGGGUGAAAUUCCAAUCGAACCCGGAGAUAGCUGGUUCUCCCCGAAAUAGCUCUAGGGCUAGCGUUGUGGUAAGAGUUAUACGCAGGUAGAGCACUGAAUGGGUGAUGGCCUCACCUCGAGGUACUGAUCUCAAUCAAACUCCGAAUGGCGUAUAACAUACAUAGCAGUAAGACUACGGGUGAUAAGGUCCGUGGUCUAAAGGGAAACAGCCCAGACCGCCAGUUAAGGUCCCAAAAUCAUGCUAAGUGGGAAAGGAUGUGGAAUCGCACAAACAACUAGGAGGUUGGCUCAGAAGCAGCCAUCCUUUAAAGAGUGCGUAAUAGCUCACUAGUCGAGUGGUUCUGCGCCGAAAAUGUAUCGGGGCUAAGCAUGAUACCGAAGCUGCGGAAUAGGACGAAAGUUUUAUUGGUAGGGGAGCGUACUUAACGCGUUGAAGGUUGACCGGAAGGACAGCUGGAGUGUUGAGCAGUGAGAAUGCCGGUGUGAGUAGCGAUAAGACGGGUGAGAAUCCCGUCCGUCGGAAGCCUAAGGUUUCCAGGGGUAAGGCUCGUCCGCCCUGGGUAAGCCGGGGCCUAAGGUGAGGCUGAAAAGCGUAGCCGAUGGAUAACAGGUUGAUAUUCCUGUGCUACCAUAUAUUUGACGGAGUGACGGAGGAGGCUAAUCUUAGCCAAUUAUUGGAUUUUGGUUCAACCACAAAGAGGGAACUUGGAGGCAAAUCCCUAAGUUUUUAACCUUGAAAUGGGAGCACGUAAGUAAGACCAUGCCACACUUCCAAGAAAAGCUUCUAAAGAUACGUAUAUGGUACCCGUACCGUAAACGGACACACGUAGGCGAGGAGAGAAUCCACAGACGCGCGAGAUAAUUCUUGUUAAGGAACUCUGCAAAAUUACCCUGUAACUUCGGAAUAAAGGGGGCUCCGAAAGGAGACGCAGAAAAUAGGCCCAAGCGACUGUUUAACAAAAACAUAGGUCUCUGCUAAACCGUAAGGUGAUGUAUAGGGGCUGACGCCUGCCCAGUGCUGGAAGGUUAAGAGGAGAUGUUAGCGCAAGCGAAGCAUUGAAUUGAAGCCCCAGUAAACGGCGGCCGUAACUAUAACGGUCCUAAGGUAGCGAAAUUCCUUGUCAGGUAAGUUCUGACCCGCACGAA